AAUCAACGCUGGCGGCGUGCCUAACACAUGCAAGUCGCGCGCGAAAGGGGGGCAACUCCCAAGUAGAGCGGCGAACGGGUGAGUAACGCGUGGGUGAUCUGCCUCCGAGUGGGGAACAACAGCGGGAAACUGCUGCUAAUACCGCAUGACAUCAUCGGGUCACAUCGAUGAUCAAAGCCGGGGACCGCAAGGCCUGGCGCUUGGAGAGGAGCCCGCGUUCGAUUAGCUAGUUGGCGGGGUAAUGGCCCACCAAGGCGACGAUCGAUAGCCGGCCUGAGAGGGCGGACGGCCACACUGGGACUGAGACACGGCCCAGACUCCUACGGGAGGCAGCAGUGGGGAAUUUUUCGCAAUGGGCGAAAGCCUGACGAAGCAACGCCGCGUGGAGGAUGAAGGCCUUCGGGUCGUAAC
rnacentral:rRNA from 1 species